GCGAGUUGAUGGGAUACCUAAAUUUCCCAUGGCAAACUGCUCAGUAACACAUGAUCAACUUACCCUAUAGAGAAAAAUAACCUCGGGAAACUGAGGAUAAUACUUCAUAGUUGAAUAGGCUUGGAAAAGUUUUUCAAUAAAAGGGAUAAAAAAAAUGGUUUUUAUCUGCUAUAGGAUAGGAUCGUGGACGAUUAUGGUUGUUGGUGAGGUAACGGCUCACCAAGCCGAUAAUCGAUAGGGGCCGUGAGAGCGGGAGCCCCGAGAUGGGUACUGAGACAACGACCCAGGCCUUACGAGGCGCAGCAGGCGCGGAACCUCCGCAAUACACGAAAGUGUGACGGGGUUACCCAAAGUGUUCAAUUCUGAACUGUGGUAGGUGAGUAAUGUUCCCUACUAGAAAGGAGAGGGCAAGGCUGGUGCCAGCCGCCGCGGUAAAACCAGCUCUUCAAGUGGUCGGGAUAAUUAUUGGGCUUAAAGUGUCCGUAGCCGGUUUAGUAAGUUCCUGGUAAAAUCGGGUAGCUUAACUAUCUGUAUGCUAGGAAUACUGCUAUACUAGAGGGCGGGAGAGGUCUGAGGUACUACAGGGGUAGGGGUGAAAUCUUAUAAUCCUUGUAGGACCACCAGUGGCGAAGGCGUCAGACUGGAACGCGCCUGACGGUGAGGGACGAAAGCCAGGGGAGCGAACCGGAUUAGAUACCCGGGUAGUCCUGGCCGUAAACGAUGCAUACUAGGUGAUGGUACGGCCAUG
rnacentral:rRNA from 1 species